rnacentral:rRNA from 1 species
GACGAACGCUGGCGGCGUGCUUAACACAUGCAAGUCGAACGAAGAGCGACGGAAGCUUGCUUCUAUCAAUCUUAGUGGCGAACGGGUGAGUAACGCGUAAUCAACCUGCCCUUCAGAGGGGGACAACAGUUGGAAACGACUGCUAAUACCGCAUACGAUCUAACCUCGGCAUCGAGGAUAGAUGAAAGGUGGCCUCUACAUGUAAGCUAUCACUGAAGGAGGGGAUUGCGUCUGAUUAGCUAGUUGGAGGGGUAACGGCGCACCAAGGCGAUGAUCAGUAGCCGGUCUGAGAUGAUGACCGGCCACAUUGGGACUGAGACACGGCCCAGACUCCUACGGGAGGCAGCAGUGGGGAAUCUUCCGCAAUAGACGAAAGUCUGACGGAGCAACGCCGCGUGAGUGAUGACGGCCUUCGGGUUGUAAAGCUCUGUUAAUCGGGACGAAAGGCCUUCUUGCGAAUAGUGAGAAGGAUUGACGGUACCGGAAUAGAAAGCCACGGCUAACUACGUG